AUUGAACGCUGGCGGCAGGCCUAACACAUGCAAGUCGAACGCAGUGGGGACGGGUGAGUAACACGUGGGUAACCUCCCCUCAGAGGGGAUAACACUUGGAGACAAGUGCUAAACCGAUACUGGUGGAUGGAGCUGGGGUGCAUUAGCUAGUUGGUGAGGUAACGGCUCACCUAGGCCACGAUGCAGAGGCUACCGGGGAGGGGGAUCGGCCACACUGGGACUGAGACACGGCCCGGACUCAUACGGUAGGCAGGGGUGGGGAAUGUUCGGCAAUGGAAGAAAGGCUGACCGGGCCCCGCCGCGUGAGUGAAAAAGGUUUUGGGAUCGUAGACCUCUGUUGUUAGGGAAUCGGUAUCUAACGAGUAAGCCACGGCUAACUCCGUGCCAGCAGCCGCGGUAAUAC
rnacentral:rRNA from 1 species